GUAUACUACAUGGAUACCUGUAGUAAUUCUAGAGCUAAUACAUGCCAAUAUGCCCUGACCCGCAAGGGAACGGGUGGAUUUAUUAGAACAGAACCAACCGGUAGUGGCCUCGGCUGCUUCCGUUGCAUUCUGUGAUGACUCUGGAUAACUUCACUGAUCGCAGUCGGCCUUGUGUCGGCGACGGAUCUUUCAAAUGUCUGCCCUAUCAAUUUUCGAUGGUAGGUGACCUGCCUACCAUGGUGAUAACGGGUAACGGGGAAUCAGGGUUCGAUUCCGGAGAGGGAGCCUGAGAAACGGCUACCACUUCCAAGGAAGGCAGCAGGCGCGCAAAUUACCCAAUCCCGGCACGGGGAGGUAGUGACGAAAAAUACGGAUACGGGACUCAACAGAGGCUCCGUAAUUCGAAUGAGUACAAUUUAAAUCCUUUAACGAGGAUCAACUGGAGGGCAAGUCUGGUGCCAGCAGCCGCGGUAACUCCAGCUCCAGAAGCGUAUAUUAAAGUUGUUGCAGUUAAAAAGCUCGUAGUUGGAUCUGGGUUGUAUGGCUACGUGCCGUUGCUUUCAUUCCUCGUUCGGUUACGACUGGGUGGGGUUUGUGAGUCGGUGCUGUGGUUGUGCAGCCUUUCUGCCGUGUCUGUUUACAGGUGUCGGUUGUAUUGGUGAGCUUGCUUGCCAGUUAGUCGGCAUGCUUCCAGAUGCCUUUAAACGGGUGUCGGGGGCGGACGGCACGUUUACUUUGAACAAAUUUGAGUGCUCAAAGCAGCCAUUGAGCCUGAAAAGUCUUGCAUGGAAUAAUGGAAUAGGACUUCGGUUCUAUUUUGUUGGUUUUCGGAUCCGAAGUAAUGGUUAAGAGGGACAGACGGGGGCAUUUGUAUGGCGGCGUUAGAGGUGAAAUUCUUGGAUCGUCGCCAGACAAACUACAGCGAAAGCAUUUGCCAAGGAUGUUUCAUUGAUCUGGAGCGAAAGUCAGAGUCGAGACGAUCAGAUACCGUC
rnacentral:rRNA from 1 species